ACACACACACACACAAACACACACAAAACACAAUGAUCAAUUAUACACAAGGCAGCCAGGUAAUAUAAUGUGAGGUCCAUUAAUCCUGAUAACUUUGUCACUGUGCCAGCUGUCAUUUGCUGUGUGUGUGUCUGUGUGUGUGUGUGU